GAUGCAUAUGAGCUUCAGGAGAGAAAGAUGGGGGGCAGAGGUGGUGAGAAGAAGAGGAGGAGAUUUCCAUGAAGGGAGAGGAGCCCAGUACUGAGAAUGGAUGGGAGAGGAGAGGAAGAGGGUGGAGUGGGCUCUGCCCCACAGUCCCCCAGAGCCCUGGCUCAGACACCUUCCUCCAGGCCCAGGGGCCCUCUAGCCUCCACUGCCCUAGCCCCAGACUGCUCACCUCCUCUGCCCUCUACCCUCCUGUGACAGCAGGGAAACUGAGACCUGGAGAGGGAGGUGGCAUCCAGAUUUGGGCCCCUUUGUCCCCUUGUAAGUUCCCCUGCUUCCCCCUGAACCCCACAGGCUUAGGGAGCCCAAAUGGCUACAGAUCUGGUAAAGCUGGUGGCGGGGUGCUUGGGGAGGGUGGCACACCGGCUCCCAGCUGCUCCAGCACCCCGGGCUCAACAUCUCACUUCUCCCACAGUCUAUGGCCCCCACAGUGGCCUGGGAGCAGGAUUCGUGGUCAGGCAUGGGCUGGGAACCCAGCCAGGUGAGAGCCGUGGGGUCCCCUCCUUCCCUCCCUCCCAGGCCUCAGACGGAAGAGGCAGGAUUGGAGAGAUUGUUGGGGGGAGGCGCAGAGAGCCUCUCAGGUUUGCUGGUGUCUGGUUUAGUCCAAGGGGGGGUUCAAGGGUCUUGUACCCCCACCUCAGCUGGGACCCCAAACCUCCUCAGCUCACCUCUCUCUCUCCCACGAGCCCUUCCACUCAGAAUGGCUAUGGAGCAGGUAGAGAUGGGAGUGGGGGAGCUGGAAGCCAGGAUUCUAGGGGUAUCCCUGGGAUGGGGAUUCCUGAGCCCCUCAUCUGAUCCCCCUCUCUUUCCCAGACACUGAAGGGGGCAUGAAACCCCAAAACCUAGGUGAGGCUCGCCCAGCCCCUGCCUGCCUCCCUCCUCCUGACUCCCUCCUGCCUUCUCGCCCCAGGGUUCAGGACCUUCGCAGGUGCUGCAGCCCAGCCAGGAUAUGGAAACGGGCUGGGAGCAGCGGCCUUCCCAGUGGCCGGAGCCCAGUCAGGAUUGGGGAGCAGAAGUGGUUUGGGCGCUGGCACUCUUCCAGGGGCAGGAACCCCACCAGGAUACAACAAUGGAAACGGACCGGGAACCCAGCCAGGUCGGGGCCGAAGGGGCUGGGGUGGCUGGGGGAGAGGUCAGGGGCCCAGGGCCACACUCUGGGUCCCAACAGAUGGGCUCUUGGGGGUUCAUUCAUUCACCCAAUCUCCCCUGAGCACCCGUCCCAAGCCAGGCCUCGGCUGGCCAUGGAGGACACCCAAGCUGGUCAAGGGUGGCCACGGUCUGGACUCCCGGGCCAAGAACCAAAUCCAACUUUGACUGCAGUCAGGCCUGGGAGGGAGUUCACACAAGACAGAAAGGGAGAGGGCAGGGCUCCAGGCCCCAGCUCAUCCCCACUGCACCACCAUCCACACUCCUGUGUCUGCCCUCAAACAGGUCCUGCCGCUCAAAAUGGCUUUGGACCAGGUAAAGAGGGUGGGGACGGAAGCGGGGAGCCUGGGGCUGCGAUUCUGGGCACAGGCCCAGAGGAAAGGAUCCCUCACCCUCUCAUCUUCCCCCCAGGCUUUGGAGGGGGUGGAAAACCCCAGAAGCCAGGCGAGCCACUCCCUGUCCCUGUCUCCCUGCCCAUUUCCUAUGCAUCCGCCGCUGCUUCCCUAGAGUCCCUGAUCUCCCCAUUCUCUUUGGCUCUGUCCCCUGGGAUUUGGGAAUAGGAAUGGGUGGGGAGUCGGGGCCUUCCUGGGAGCUGGAACCCAGGCAGGUGAGGCCCUGGAGUUCUGGGAGCAUGGAGGUCUUAGGGGGUGGGGGUUACUGAUGUAGGGGCCUGGCCCUGGUCCUGAGCAGAGAGGAAGAGAUGGGUGGACUCACAGGAAGUCCUUCCCCUUCUCUUCCCAGGCCUGGGAGGGGGACUAAAGCCUCAGAGAGCAGGCGAGCCCCAAUCUCUAGCCUCCCAACUUGGUCUCACACAACAAACCUCAUUCGACAAACCAAUCCAGGCCUGGAGCAGUGGCUAACACCUGUAAUCCCAACAGUUCGGGAGGCAGAGUUAGGUGGAUCAAUUGAGCCCAAGAGUUCAAGACCAGCCUGGGCAACAUUCCCAAACUGGUCUUGAACUCUUGGGCUCAAGCAAUCCAUCUAC
rnacentral:sRNA from 1 species